rnacentral:rRNA from 1 species
GACGAACGCUGGCGGCGUGCUUAACACAUGCAAGUCGAACGGUGAAAGCGGAGCUUGCUCCGCUGGAUCAGUGGCGAACGGGUGAGUAACACGUGGGCAACCUGCCCCUCACUUCGGGAUAACUCCGGGAAACCGGGGCUAAUACCGGAUAUGACCUCCUUGGGCAUCCUUGGAGGUGGAAAGUUUUUCGGUGAGGGAUGGGCCCGCGGCCUAUCAGCUUGUUGGUGAGGUAGUGGCUCACCAAGGCGACGACGGGUAGCCGGCCUGAGAGGGCGACCGGCCACACUGGGACUGAGACACGGCCUAGACUCCUACGGGAGGCAGCAGUGGGGAAUAUUGCGCAAUGGGCGAAAGCCUGACGCAGCAACGCCGCGUGCGGGAUGACGGCCUUCGGGUUGUAAACCGCUUUCAGCAGGGAAGAAGCCGCAAGGUGACGGUACCUGCAGAAGAAGCACCGGCUAACUACGUGCCAGCCGCCGCCGCAG